GGUGUUGUAAGACAUCAGGAGGCCUGUUAAGACGUCAGGAGGUGUUGUAAGACAUCAGGAGGCCUGUUAAGACGUCAGGAGGUGUUGUAAGACAUCAGGAGGCCUGUUAAGACGUCAGGAGGUGUUGUAAGACAUCAGGAGGCCUGUUAAGACGUCAGGAGGUGUUGUAAGACAUCAGGAGGCCUGUUAAGACGUCAGGAGGUGUUGUAAGACAUCAGGAGGCCUUUCAAGACGUCAGGAGGUGUUGUAAGACAUCAGGAGGCCUGUUAAGACGUCAGGAGGUGUUGUAAGACAUCAGGAGGCCUGU